CAGUCGAGGGGCAGCAUCAUCAAAGCUUGCUUUGAUGGAUGGCGACCGGCGCACGGGUGAGUAACACGUAUCCAACCUGCCGACAACACUGGGAUAGCCUUUCGAAAGAAAGAUUAAUACCGGAUGGCAUAGUUUUCCCGCAUGGGAUAAUUAUUAAAGAAUUUCGGUUGUCGAUGGGGAUGCGUUCCAUUAGGCAGUUGGCGGGGUAACGGCCCACCAAACCAACGAUGGAUAGGGGUUCUGGGAGGAAGGUCCCCCACAUUGGAACUGAGACACGGUCCAAACUCCUACGGGAGGCAGCAGUGAGGAAUAUUGGUCAAUGGACGAGAGUCUGAACCAGCCAAGUAGCGUGAAGGAUGACUGCCCUAUGGGUUGUAAACUUCUUUUAUACGGGAAUAAAGUUAGCCACGUGUGGCUUUUUGUAUGUACCGUAUGAAUAAGGAUCGGCUAACUCCGUGCCAGCAGCCGCGGUAAUACGGAGGAUCCGAGCGUUAUCCGGAUUUAUUGGGUUUAAAGGGAGCGUAGGCGGGUUGUUAAGUCAGUUGUGAAAGUUUGCGGCUCAACCGUAAAAUUGCAGUUGAUACUGGCGACCUUGAGUGCAACAGAGGUAGGCGGAAUUCGUGGUGUAGCGGUGAAAUGCUUAGAUAUCACGAAGAACUCCGAUUGCGAGGGCAGCUUACUGGAUUGUAACUGACGCUGAUGCUCGAAAGUGUGGGUAUCAAACAGGAUUAGAUACCCUGGUAGUCCACACAGUAAACGAUGAAUACUCGCUGUUGGCGAUAUACAGUCAGCGGCCAAGCGAAAGCAUUAAG
rnacentral:rRNA from 1 species